rnacentral:rRNA from 1 species
GACGAACGCUGGCGGCGUGCUUAACACAUGCAAGUCGAACGGAAAGGCCCUGCUUUUGUUGGGUUCUCGAGUGGCGAACGGGUGAGUAACACGUGAGUAACCUGCCCUUGACUUUGGGAUAACUUCAGGAAACUGGGGCUAAUAUCCGAUAUGAUCUCCUGCUGCAUGGUGGGGGUUGGAAAGUUUCGGCGGUUGUGGAUGGACUCGCGGCUUAUCAGCUUGUUUGUGUGGUAGUGGCUUACCAAGGCUUUGACGGGUAGCCGGCCUGAGAGGGUGACCGGCCACAUUGGGACUGAGAUACGGACCAGAAUGCUACGGGAGGCAGCAGUGGGGAAUCUUGCACAAUGGGCGGAAGCCUGAUGCAGAAACGCCGCGUGCGGGAUGACGGCCUUCGGGUUGUAAACCGCUUUCGCAGGUGACGAAGCGUGAGUGACGGUAAUGGGUAAAGAAGCAACGGCUAACUACGUG